AUCGUGCUGCUUUGAUUGGAUCAUCCAACAUUAAUGAUAGAAGUUUGCUAGGCUCAAGAGACUCUGAGAUUGGGGUACUAAUUGAAGAUAAGGAGUUUGUGGACUCAUCUAUGAAUGGACAGCCUUGGAAGGCUGGAAAAUUUGCUUAUAGUCUUCGGUGCUCCUUGUGGUCCGAGCACCUUGGUCUUCAUUCAGGAGAGAUAAAUCAAAUCAGUGAUCCUGUAUCAGACACAACA